rnacentral:rRNA from 1 species
CAGUCGCCACGGGAAUACGGAGGGUGCAAGCGUUAAUCGGAAUUACUGGGCGUAAAGCGCACGCAGGCGGUCUGUCAAGUCAGAUGUGAAAUCCCCGGGCUUAACCUGGGAACUGCAUUUGAAACUGGCAGGCUAGAGUCUUGUAGAGGGGGGUAGAAUUCCAGGUGUAGCGGUGAAAUGCGUAGAGAUCUGGAGGAAUACCGGUGGCGAAGGCGGCCAUCUGGCCUAAUACUGACGCUGAGGUACGAAAGCAUGGGGAGCAAACAGGAUUAGAUACCCGAGUAGUCCCUGUCUCUUAUAC